UACGAGUGCCUCGAGCGUUAUCCGGAAUCAUUGGGCGUAAAGGGUGUGUAGGCGGUCAUGUUAGUCUCGUGUAAAAUUCUUCGGCUUAACCGGGGGCUCGCACGGGAAGCGGCAUGACUAAGAGGAUGGAAGGGGUCUCUGGAACUCAUGGUGUAGCGGUGAAAUGCGUUGAUAUCAUGGGGAACACCAAAAGCGAAGGCAAGAGACUGGUCCAUUUCCUGACGCUGAAACACGAAAGCGUGGGUCGCGAAUGGG
rnacentral:rRNA from 1 species